GCAGCAUCACAGAAAAUGAUGCUCUCUCCUGCCAAGUCCCAUCUUUUGGAAGGAAGAAAUUGAUUAGGUCCUGGAGGUUUUCAUAAAUGCAUCAAAUGACUUUCUUAGCAUCAUCUGAAACAGAAGAAAUUAAAGCUCGAGAAGUUCAAUACCUUGCCCAAAAUCACACACACACUAGUGAACAGCAUAGUCAACAUUUGAACCAACCAGUCUGCCUAAUUUCAAAGUCUACGUUCUUGGAUGUGAGGGAGAUCUGGAUGUGACAUCUGCCACCCAUUGAUCACCAGGUUUGAUCCAGCUGAUCUGACUGGCUAGGCAGGUGUCCCCUUCCUCCCUCAACACUCCAUGUGUAUCCCUCCCAAAGCUGCAUGCUCAGUUGAAGAGGACGACCAUCCCCAAGAGAGAAGGGCCAGUCUUCCAGUAAAGGGUAUAUGAGUAGCUGUGCUCCCCUGCUAGAACCUCCAAAUGAGCUUUCAAAGUCUACAUUCUUCAUCAUCAAGUGAUAUUGCCUCUCUAAAGAGAAAAUUGAAAAAUUCAGGAAGACUGCUCCUUAUGUGUGACCAGGGCUAUAUAUAGCAGACAUUCCUUAACUAUCUCUUGAAUGAAAAUGAGUGAGU